AAUUAUUAAGCUUUGUAAUAGCAUUUGUUUUGAAAACUUAAAAAAGACUCCUAAGUCUAAUAAUUU
rnacentral:tRNA from 1 species